rnacentral:rRNA from 1 species
UACGGAGGGUGCAAGCGUUAUCCGGAUUUAUUGGGUUUAAAGGGUCCGUAGGCGGAUCUGUAAGUCAGUGAUGAAAUCUCACAGCUUAACUGUGAAACUGCCAUUGAUACUGCAGGUCUUGAGUGUUAUUGAAGUAGCUGGAAUAAGUAGUGUAGCGGUGAAAUGCAUAGAUAUUACUUAGAACACCAAUUGCGAAGGCAGGUUACUAAGCAACAACUGACGCUGAUGGACGAAAGCGUGGGGAGCGAACAGG